UACGAAGGGGGCUAGCGUUGCUCGGAAUCACUGGGCGUAAAGGGUGCGUAGGCGGGUCUUUAAGUCAGGGUGAAAUCCUGGAGCUCAACUCCAGAACUGCCUUUGAUACUGAGGAUCUUGAGUUCGGGAGAGGUGAGUGGAACUGCGAGUGUAGAGGUGAAAUUCGUGAGAUAUUCGCAAGAACACCAGUGGCGAAGGCGGCUCACUGGCCCGAUACUGACGCUGAGGUGCGAAAGCGUGGGGAGCAACAGG
rnacentral:rRNA from 1 species